UACAGAGGCCCCAAGCAUUAUCCGGAAUCACUGGGCGUAAAGGAUGUGUAGGCGGUCGUGUUAGUCUUUCGUGAAAGCUUUUGGGCCUAACCCAGAAAACGCGGAAGAAACGGCACGACUAAGAGGAUGCGAGAGGUAUAUGGAACUCAUGGUGUAGGGGUGAAAUCCGUUGAUAUCAUGGGGAACACCAAAAGCGAAGGCAAUAUACUGGCGCACUCCUGACGCUGAGACAUGAAAGCGUGGGAAUCGAAAAGG
rnacentral:rRNA from 1 species